CAUUUUUUUUUUCAAAAAAAUAGAGUUACUCUCAGAAUUCCAAAACCCCCCCCCCCCCAAAAGAAGAAAAUCAGUUUCCCUUUCUUCCCGAAAUCAAUGCUUUCGAAUUUUUGAGAGAGGCAUUCUCCGUCUGCUAUUCCUGCGAUAUUUGUUUCAAAACUUCCCUGUAAAAACAACUGAACGCCAAAAUCUCUUUCUUUCUAUAUGAAUGCUUAGAAUGGGGAUUUCUUUUCUUCCCUGAAUUCAUUCAUUGUUUCCCUCUCUCUCUCUCUCUCUCUCUCUCUCUCCCCCCUCUGCAACUCUCUCUCUCUACUCUAUCAGAGGAACAUCGCCUGCGGGAGGAACCGAGAACCGAUCGUGAACCGUCAAAGAACCGCCAGAGUCGAUACGGCCGGUUUCUCUCCUCCCCAUUGACCAAUUACGAUCGGUUGCUCCUUCGUUUCUCCUCUCGUCGGUCGGCAUCGGUUUUGCCCAAAAACUGCACCGAAGAGGUCAGUUUUCACCCCUAGUUUUUGUAACUUUUUUGCAACUUUUAGGGUUUAUGUGAGAUUAGGAUUUCUGUGAAGAUGAAGAAGAAGAGAAAUGGCGAGUUUAGAGUUUCUGCGAAGAUAAAGGAGAAGAGAAAUGGUGAGAUUGGUGUUUUAUGCAAAGACGAAGGAUAACAUAGAUUUCCAAAUUUGUGUUUUUGUGCGAAGAUGAAGGAGAAGAGAAGAGGAUCGAACGUGGGUGGUUUUCUGUUUCUGCGUGUUUAGGGCUUUUGCAAAGAUGAAGGGUAAUAAAAAUGGAGAAGGAGAAGAGGAUUGAAGGAGGAGAAAUGGCGAAGGUGGGGGUGUUUUUUGUUUGGGCAUGUUGAGGUUUUCUAUGAAGACGAAAGAGAAGAGGACUGAAGGAGAAGAUGUGUUGCUUUCUUCUAUUUUUGAGCUGUUUUAUAUGCAAAAUUGUGACAUAGCGGUUGUGAAAUCGUGACAUGACGGUCAGACUGGAUUUGCCAUGUCACGGUGUGUUGUAUUGGAGGGGAAACUGGACUAAGAGUAGAUUAAUCCUUUAAACGAUGGGUUUUAAUAAAAGUGGGAAUGAAUUUUAAACGAUGGAAAAUGCCAACGCUUUGAUUUCUCUCUCCAUUAUCUUCUCCCCGUUGUUCCCAUUCUCUCUACAAUUCUCUUCUCCUCUCCCGUCGUUACCAUUCUACUGUUUUUUUGUAAUUGUCUUUAGAAUGAUCCCAGUCAUAUUGUUGGACUCAGGAAAAGUGAGCCAUUGCUUUUUUCUUUUCCUUCUCUUCUCUUCUCAAUCUGUGAACCGUAAAGACACCUUCUUAUGAGCCCGUACAAAGUGGCAGAUCUAUCUUCCAUAGCCAGCCACGACGCCUUCUCCAUUCCCUCGUAUCAAGCCCCAAGUUCAGUCUCUACUCUUUAUGGGUCUCUCUCUCUCUCUCUCUCUCUGCUUUUGGAUUGGUAAAAUUUAGAGAUCACCAUAUUGCAAGUAUUUCAAAUGGGCAGAUAGUAGUGAAGACAGAGAAAAUGAACUUGUGAAGAUAAAAACUGAAUUGUCUUGGAAGGAGGGACAACUUUGAAAAAGAAAGAAAGAGAUUGUGAAGAGGCAAUUGUGAGUGGAAGUCAACCAACUAGCUAUUCAAAGGCAGUAGACAUUCGGCGUGAAUGCACAAUACUUCAUAUGUAUUGGGUAAUUUCCAUAUUAACUUCAUUGUACUUCAUACAAUCACAAUGAAAUCCCCAAUAAAUGGGAAGUUUGUAUGUCGGGUAUUUGGAAACUUUGUUGUGUAUAAUCUCAAACUCCCAGUCACUCACUUUGUUCUAAGGGACUUAGUCUUUGUGUUUAGCGCUUGGAUACAAUGGCCUCUUAUGUUUUGGUAGCAGAGAAUUAGUUGAGAAUUGAAUUCCGUGGUAUGACAUUAUUGAUCUGAA